UAAGGAGAACGAUCUACGGGAGGCAGCAGUAGGGAAUCUUCGGCAAUGGACGGAAGUCUGACCGAGCAACGCCGCGUGAGUGAAGAAGGUUUUCGGAUCGUAAAGCUCUGUUGUAAGAGAAGAACGAGUGUGAGAGUGGAAAGUUCACACUGUGACGGUAUCUUACCAGAAAGGGACGGCUAACUACGUGCCAGCAGCCGCGGUAAUAUCACCCG
rnacentral:rRNA from 1 species